rfam:Gossypium arboreum cultivar AKA8401 contig_56_11, whole genome shotgun sequence.
CUUCGUAUUCUUCCACAGCUUUCUUGAACUGCAAUUUCAUGUAAUCAGAUCAUUCAUUCAUUCGUUGUCGUUGAUGGUGCUGCAUACAUACGAGUACGUUGUUGCGGUUCAAUAAAGCUGUGGGAAGAUACAAACA